GCCAUCAGGACUGCUUUUUGGAUGCAUUUACUAGUUCACUAUAAUUUAUUUAUUCUUGCAUAUUUUUGGAUCACAUAAAGUGCAGGCUACUUGCAAGCAAAGAUAGUGCCUCCUGUUUCUCCACUGUGCUGAUAUACAGCCUUGUUCGUUAUAAGUGACCAGAACAGCUUGGUCCAGCCAUGCUGCUGCAAAUGGCAUUCUUUCAUUCAACAGAAAAUUUUAGAAGCUUAUCAAAAGCUUUUGUUGCUUGGAACCCAGCCACCAUGCUGUACGGAAGCCCAAGCAGCCCCAUGGAGAGGCCCAUGUGAAGGACAACCAAGUGCCCUGACUGACAACCCCAGCAGAGCUCCUGGUUGUAAUCUGAUG